UAACGUCCGUCGUGAAGAGGGAAACAACCCAGACCGCCAGCUAAGGUCCCAAAGUCAUGGUUAAGUGGGAAACGAUGUGGGAAGGCCCAGACAGCCAGGAUGUUGGCUUAGAAGCAGCCAUCAUUUAAAGAAAGCGUAAUAGCUCACUGGUCGAGUCGGCCUGCGCGGAAGAUGUAACGGGGCUAAACCAUGCACCGAAGCUGCGGCAGCGACGCUUAUGCGUUGUUGGGUAGGGGAGCGUUCUGUAAGCCUGUGAAGGUGUGCUGUGAGGCAUGCUGGAGGUAUCAGAAGUGCGAAUGCUGACAUAAGUAACGAUAAAGCGGGUGAAAAGCCCGCUCGCCGGAAGACCAAGGGUUCCUGUCCAACGUUAAUCGGGGCAGGGUGAGUCGACCCCUAAGGCGAGGCCGAAAGGCGUAGUCGAUGGGAAACAGGUUAAUAUUCCUGUACUUGGUGUUACUGCGAAGGGGGGACGGAGAAGGCUAUGUUGGCCGGGCGACGGUUGUCCCGGUUUAAGCGUGUAGGCUGGUUUUCCAGGCAAAUCCGGAAAAUCAAGGCUGAGGCGUGAUGACGAGGCACUACGGUGCUGAAGCAACAAAUGCCCUGCUUCCAGGAAAAGCCUCUAAGCAUCAGGUAACAUCAAAUCGUACCCCAAACCGACACAGGUGGUCAGGUAGAGAAUACCAAGGCGCUUGAGAGAACUCGGGUGAAGGAACUAGGCAAAAUGGUGCCGUAACUUCGGGAGAAGGCACGCUGAUAUGUAGGUGAAGUCCCUUGCGGAUGGAGCUGAAAUCAGUCGAAGAUACCAGCUGGCUGCAACUGUUUAUUAAAAACACAGCACUGUGCAAACACGAAAGUGGACGUAUACGGUGUGACGCCUGCCCGGUGCCGGAAGGUUAAUUGAUGGGGUUAGCGCAAGCGAAGCUCUUGAUCGAAGCCCCGGUAAACGGCGGCCGUAACUAUAACGGUCCUAAGGUAGCGAAAUUCCUUGUCGGGUAAGUUCCGACCUGCACGAAUGGCGUAAUGAUGGCCAGGCUGUCUCCACCCGAGACUCAGUGAAAUUGAACUCGCUGUGAAGAUGCAGUGUACCCGCGGCAAGACGGAAAGACCCCGUGAACCUUUACUAUAGCUUGACACUGAACAUUGAGCCUUGAUGUGUAGGAUAGGUGGGAGGCUUGGAAGUGUGGACGCCAGUCUGCAUGGAGCCGACCUUGAAAUACCACCCUU
rnacentral:rRNA from 1 species